rnacentral:lncRNA from 1 species
CUUUCGGCUCCUUACAAUCCACCACGUGUCUUCCAUGCAGCCAUCCCUAGACAACUGGAAGCGGAAUGUAGGGCAACUCAUGUUUCGCACACAUGAAAAGAUGAUGAGGCACUGAAUCCUCUACUUGGAAACCAACCAGGGCCGCCCCUGAGGGACCAGCCUGCCUGGGAGUGUAAGGAACGUCUCUGCAGAUCUCCCCAGGUGCCAAGCAUCUCUCCGGGACCCACUCCUGGACUCACUGACGGAGAGCGAUGAAGUCGAGGGUGAAGCCCAGGGCAGUGGCAAGUGACAAACAGAGCCCAUGGGGCCGAGCGUGCCCUGUGCCUCCACGAGGCGCUCCCUCCUGGACUUGGCAAGGUAGUGGGAACCGGGUGAGUGGCUGCAGGAGGUAAGAGUCAGCGUCCUCAUGGCCCCUCUACUUGGCAUGUGUGAGUGGGUAAGCACAGCGGGUGAGCACAGUGUCAUCCUGCUGGCACCUUCACUGAGGCACGAAGAGUGUCAGCUACUAAGCGGGCAAAGCAGGAAGCUCACGUGGUGGCCACUGGGGCAUUCAGAGCCACCUGGCCUUUCCCAGCAAGCUGGGCCACGCCAGUCGGAUCCAAGUAAACGACAGCACCUGGGCCGGACCUGAGCCGUCCAAGAUCCAAGCCCACCUUUCCCCUGAAAGGUGCCUGCGUGGGACAGAAACAGGUUCACAUAUAUGACAGGUGGACAGGAAGGGAGAAGGGACUCGUGUGGCCACAGGGCCAGGUGGUGAGAAAAGGGAUUAUGUGCUCACCAGUGAGCCCUGUACCCAUCAGAGGACUGAUUGCAGCCAACCAGUCCAUCCUAGUUUGCCAACAGAAGGGACUGAAGCACAGGAUGAACACUGACCAAGGGGCCAAUGCGUACAGUGACCACAGCUGCAAAGGACAGUGUGCUCCGGAGAAACUGGAGGAGAUACAUGGAGACAAACACGAAGGCAUCCACGCCAUGCCUGCAGGAUGGAGUUGCAGUGCUUGUUUAGCCUAUUUUGAACUCUUUCAUUCAUCAUGGAGCAGCAAAACUGUGCAGAUUUAUCACAGUGGCAAACUGUAAGUUUUCACAAAACACAUUCUGUCACAGGAGUUACCAGUAUUAUUCUCUAUGUUAUUGAAGCAAAGUAAAGUAAUAUUACAAGCUAAUCAUCAGAGUCAAAGUAUGCUAACCACCUGCAAAUCUGAGUGAAAGGCCACUGUCCUCAGUUUUCAUGAGCUAAUCCCAAAUUAGUCUUCAAAUUAUUUUUUUGGUCAAUGAUGAAUGAAAUCAUUCAAAAUAGACUAAAAGGUCACUGAAAUGUGUUGGCCCCGAAGGAAGAAAAGUGCAUGGUAACACGCAUAAAGAAAACUCUCAUCUUCCCUAGUAGGAAAAUAAUAUGAAUAAAACUUACAUAAUCCCACUUAAACUGUCAUUUAAAUCUAAAAUCUCAUAAAAUUGCUAGUGGAGGUAAGACUGAGCAAGAGGCUGAGUGGACCAAGCUCCCCAGAUGCUUCUGAUUUAACGUACCCUUGAUCUCUUACUCCUGUAGGUGGGAACUCACACUGAGAAAAUAACUGAUGUUGGAGGAUUUUGUCAGACGGCUGCUUGUUGCCUUGUUCUCCUAACAGUGAAAAAUAGAAACAGUGUGCGCAUGGCAGAGAGCUACAGUUAAACAUAACAAUGAACUGCAUAGCAGAGUGUUCACCUUCAUUUAAUGGCUGCUUGGAGGUUGCCAUUAAAAUCGUGUUACUGGGAAUUCUCAGUGAUGUGGAAGGUGCUCACGAAUUAGGAGGAAGAAGCAGAUGACAGGUGUGACCCUAUCAGCCACUUAAAUAUACAGAAAAUCCUGGGGAAGUGCACAGCAAAAGUCAAAGGCUUACCAGACUGGAUUACGGAUAAGCCUGACAUCCUCCCUCUUUGUUUACAUGCAUUUUCUAAGCUUUUCUGCAAAGGACCGACACUAACUUCUGCCUAAGCAAGAAACAACUGUUUUAUGUAAAACCCUGCUUGAAAGCACAUUUGGAGGACUUCACCUUCCCAGCAGCUUAUCAGAGCCGACAGCUGGGCUUGUUUUUCUCUGGGUGGAGGCUGCUGGGCAGGGCGGACAGAUUCCUCACUCAGAGAAAGGGGGACCACAGGAGGGAGGACACCCACGGCCCUUUCCCUCUGCGUGUACAGCACAGCUGUUCUGUCCGAGUUUAAAGAUGCAGAGGCUGCGCAGAAGCCGCCUGGCACACUACCGCACACAACUCAGAAACACAAAAGUCACUUCCUGAGCACAGCCCAGCCUCAGAGGUGCCUGACAGCUCCCACAGGGCUCCCGGGCUGCGACUGUGGACAGAGUUUCCCAGGGACCUGCCCUCCGAGGGCCCUCACAGUUUUCAGACUGCAUUCACAGUGGCAACAGCUAUAGCCCUGGUGAAAUGUUUUUGUUUAUUUUUAUUUACCUAGAUGCCAAGUUAACCAGCUGCACUAUGAAGCAAACUCCCCUGGGGGCAGGCCACACAUAAUUCAUCACAGGAGCAAAUAAUAAGGAGCAGGCGGUGCCGGCCAGGACCACGUGACCCGGCUGCACGUUCACCUCGCCGCCCGGACUGUCCUCCCAGAUCAGAGCCACUCAGGCCUCGACAGUCUAGCAAAUGGCAGACAGUGUUUUGGCGUUCAGUACUAACAUGU